UACGUAGGGGGCAAGCGUUGUCCGGAUUCAUUGGGCGUAAAGAGCGUGUAGGCGGCCAGGUAGGUCGGUUGUGAAAACUGGAGGCUCAACCUUCAGAGGUCGACCGAAACCAUCUGGCUAGAGUCCGGGAGAGGAGAGUGGGAAUUCCUGGUGUAGCGGUGAAAUGCGCAGAUAUCAGGAAGAACACCCCGUGGCGAAAGCGGCUCUCUGGAACGGUACUGACGCUGAGACGCGAAAGCGUGGGGAGCGAACAGGG
rnacentral:rRNA from 1 species